CGGGGGAGGCCGGAUCCUGGGCUGUGUCCCAGCGCCCUGUGCUCCGGGUCUGCGCUGUUGGAUUCGCGCUCCCGGGCCGCGCAGCCCCCU
rfam:Canis lupus familiaris chromosome 37, whole genome shotgun sequence.